GACGAACGCUGGCGGCGUGCUUAACACAUGCAAGUCGAACGGAAAGGCCCUGCUUGCAGGGUACUCGAGUGGCGAACGGGUGAGUAACACGUGGGUGAUCUGCCCUGCACUUCGGGAUAAGCCUGGGAAACUGGGUCUAAUACCUGAUAGGAGCUAUUUUUAGCGUGAUGGUUGGAAAGUUUUUUCGGUGUUGGAUGGGCUCGCGGCCUAUCAGCUUGUUGGUGAGGUAAUGGCCUACCAAGGCGGCGACGGGUAGCCGGCCUGAGAGGGUGGACGGCCACAUUGGGACUGCGAUACGGCCCAGUCUCCUACGGGAGGCAGCAGUCGGGAAUAUUGCGCAGUGGCCGCGAGCCUGAUGCAGAGACGCCGCGUGGGGGAUGACGGCCUUCGGGUUGUAAACUCCUUUCGCUAGGGACGAAGCUUUUGUGACGGUACCUAGAUAAGAAGCACCGGCUAACUACGUG
rnacentral:rRNA from 1 species